CAAGUAUUGAGGAACCAAUAUGUGCAGCCUUUCUUCCAUUGCUUCGAUCAGAGGUUUACUAGCAGCAAAUCUAGCAACUACACCUUUCAAUUUCAGCAACACAAAUCAAAGGAUUAAGAAAAAGAAAAAGAAGAAAGAUGGAGUCUUGAUAUUUUGAUUUUUGCUCGUCGAGUCUUGAUUGUUUGGAGCGUCUGGGUCGGUUUUGUCGGGUGUGUCGUCGGCAGCGGCGGCGGCUGUCAUGGCUGCUCGCCGGAAGUUUCAGAGAGGGAGUGGUGUGCUGACGGUGGUGGCGUGGAGCCACUGGCCGCGGCCGCCGGAUGUGAACAGGGGAAAUUUGAGAGAGCAGAGGGAGAGAUGGGCUGGGUUUUACUGAGGGCUGUUCUGGGGGACGGCGGCGGCCAUGGUUGUUGUCGCCGGGAGUUUGAUUGAGGGAUCGAGGGAGGCGGCGGCGCCCCGCCGUCGCCAAGGAGGAGGGCGGUGCUUGGGUUUUCAAUCUAAGAGGAGAGCCGAGAAGGGAGGGAGGCCCUGCCGCUGUCACUCGGCCACGGACGGAGAGAGAGAAGAGGAUGAUGGUGGAGACGGCGCUCUUCGCUGGAGAUGGGCCGCGGCGGCCGUGAGUUCGGGAGAGAGACGAACGGAUCUUGAGGGAGAAGGGGGCGGAUUUUCU